GAUCCUGGCUCAGGAUGAACGCUAGCUACAGGCUUAACACAUGCAAGUCGAGGGGCAGCGGGGUUGAAGCUUGCUUCAAUUGCCGGCGACCGGCGCACGGGCGAGUAACGCGUAUCCAACCUUCCGUACACUCAGGGAUAGCCUUUCGAAAGAAAGAUUAAUACCUGAUGGUAUGAUGAGAUUGCAUGAUAGCAUCAUUAAAGAUUCGUCGGUGUACGAUGGGGAUGCG
rnacentral:rRNA from 1 species